GGGGCACGGGGGGAGGAAAGCAGGGGAUCGCAAGACCUCGCGCUAAUGGAUGAGCCAAAGUCGGAUUAGCUAGUUGGUGGGGUAAUGGCCUACCAAGGCGACAAUCCGUAGCUGGUCUGAGAGGACGACCAGCCACACCGGAACUGAGACACGGUCCGGACUCCUACGGGAGGCAGCAGUGGGGAAUAUUGGACAAUGGGGGAAACCCUGAUCCAGCGACGCCGCGUGUGUGAAGAAGGCCUGCGGGUUGUAAAGCACUUUUAGUGGGGACAAAAAGCCAUUGACGAAUACUUGAUGGUCUUGAUUUAACCCAAAGAAAAAGCACCGGCUAACUCUGUGCCAGCAGCCGCGGUAAUACAGAGGGUGCGAGCGUUAAUCGGAAUUACUGGGCGUAAAGCGCGCGUAGACG
rnacentral:rRNA from 1 species